UACGUAGGGUGCAAGCGUUGUCCGGAAUUAUUGGGCGUAAAGAGCUCGCAGGCGGUCUGUCGCGUCGAUCGUGAAAACUUGGGGCUUAACCCUGAGCUUGCGGUCGAUACGGGCAUGACUGGAGUUCGGCAGGGGAGACUGGAAUUCCUGGUGUAGCGGUGAAAUGCGCAGAUAUCAGGAGGAACACCGGUGGCGAAGGCGGGUCUCUGGGCCGAUACUGACGCUGAGGAGCGAAAGCGUGGGGAGCGAACAGG
rnacentral:rRNA from 1 species